CUACGUGCCAGCAGCCGCGGUAAUACGGAAGGUCCAGGCGUUAUCCGGAUUUAUUGGGUUUAAAGGGAGCGUAGGCUGGAGAUUAAGUGUGUUGUGAAAUGUAGACGCUCAACGUCUGAAUUGCAGCGCAUACUGGUUUCCUUGAGUACGCACAACGUUGGCGGAAUUCAUGGUGUAGCGGUGAAAUGCUUAGAUAUCAUGAAGAACUCCGAUUGCGAAGGCAGCAUACGGGAGUGUAACUGACGCUUAAGCUCGAAGGUGCGGGUAUCGAACAGGAUUAGAUACCCUGGUAGUCCGCACAGUAAACGAUGGAUGCCCGCUGUUAGCGCCUGGCGUUAGCGGCUAAGCGAAAGCAUUAAGCAUCCCACCUGGGGAGUACGCCGGCAACGGUGAAACUCAAAGGAAUUGACGGGGGCCCGCACAAGCGGAGGAACAUGUGGUUUAAUUCGAUGAUACGCGAGGAACCUUACCCGGGCUUGAAUUGCAGAGGAAUUAUUUAGAGAUA
rnacentral:rRNA from 1 species